GACGAACGCUGGCGGCGUGCUUAACACAUGCAAGUCGAACGAAGUGGCGAACGGGUGAGUAACGCGUAAUUAACCUGCCCUUCAGAGGGGGACAACAGUUGGAAACGACUGCUAAUACCGCAUACUGAUGGAUGGACCCGCGGUGCAUUAGCUAGUUGGUGCGGUAACGGCUCACCAAGGCCACGAUGCAUAGCCGACCUGAGAGGGUGAUCGGCCACACUGGGACUGAGACACGGCCCAGACUCCUACGGGAGGCAGCAGUAUGGAAUCGUCGGCAAUGGACGAAAGCCUGAUGCAGCGACGCCGCGUGGGGGAUGAAGGCUUUCGGGUUGUAAACCUCUUUCGCUAUCGAACGGGUAGGUGGAGAAGAAGCGCCGGCUAACUACGUGCCAGCAGCCGCGGUAAUAC
rnacentral:rRNA from 1 species